rnacentral:lncRNA from 1 species
CACGGACUAUUCUCUCAUGUUGAAUGUGGCACUUUUUACAUACAAGCAGGAGAGCAACUACACCAAGAUUUUGGAAAACAUGUUAUGUAAGUUUUUAUUUUUAAAAUCAGGAGAGAAUUUCUGCAACAUCCUAUGACCACAGAUCCCUACCCAUCUGCAUUGGGGCACUUACAGAUCACCUUCUCUUCUGAACUUUGUAUGAAGUGACCAUGUCCCUCCUAUCCCUUUCCAUGUGCACAAGAUCAUGUCAUCUCUAGCUUAUUCAAAGACAUUGCCUUAGCAAUCUGCCCUUGCCUUCUGUUUCAUCAGUUUCUAAGCAACAACUAGAAAGGCCAAAGCCUUACAGGACCAGUCUGGCCAAGGCAUAGCUACAGCAUCUUUCUCAUCUGUCUAGCAGACAGUUUCUAUUAGAUCAUUCCCACAAGUACAUACAAGCAGACUUACAUUUCUCACCUCACACUUUAUAAAAAACAAACAACUCCCCAGGCACCCACUUCUCCUCUCCAGGUACAGCCCCUUUGUUAUCCUUUCCUCUACAACUAAACUUCUUAAGAGAAAUUUCUAUACUAGCUGUUUCCUAGUUCUUCCUCAUUUUCUCUUGUGACUUCACUCCAGUCAAUCCAAGAUAACCAUUGACCUUUCUGGUGUCAAAUCUAACAUUUAUUUUUCAGGCCAUAUCUUAUUUCAUCUUUCCACAACAUCUGAUACAGUUGAUUCCUCUACUUCACCUUCUUCACUUUGCUUGAAGGACACCACAGAAAUAGAACAUGGCCAGACUCAGAAGUGCCCCUGGGACCCUCUUCCAAUUACCAUCAUUUUCCUUCUC